UAGUGAUUUUAAAAAUGCCUGCGUGAGAU
rnacentral:piRNA from 1 species